rnacentral:rRNA from 1 species
AUACGUAGGGGGCGAGCGUUGUCCGGAAUUACUGGGCGUAAAGGGCGCGUAGGCGGCGCUUCAAGUCGUCUGUCAAAUGGGAGGGCUUAACCCUUUUUCGCAGACGAAACUGGAGAGCUUGAGAAGCAGAGAGGCAAACAGAAUUCCUGGUGUAGCGGUGAAAUGCGUAGAUAUCAGGAAGAAUACCAGUGGCGAAGGCGGUUUGCUGGCUGCAUACUGACGCUGAAGCGCGAAAGCCAGGGGAGCAAACGGGAUUAGAUACCCCGGUAGUCCUGGCAGUAAACGAUGUAUGCUGGGUGUGAGACUAGCGAUAGUUUCGUGCCGAAGUUAACGCGAUAAGCAUACCGCCUGGGGAGUACGGUCGCAAGAUUGAAACUCAAAGGAAUUGACGGGG